GAUUGUAGUCUGCAACCGACUACAUGAAGCUGGAAUCGCUAGUAAUCGCGAAUCAGAAUGUCGCGGUGAAUACGUUCCCGGGUCUUGUACACACCGCCCGUCACACCAUGGGAGUCGGAAAUGCCCGAAGUCAGUGACCUAACCGAAAGGGAGGAGCUGCCGAAGGUGGAGCCGGUAACUGGGGUGAAGUCGUAACAAGGUAAC
rnacentral:rRNA from 1 species